GACGAACGCUGGCGGCGUGCUUAACACAUGCCAGUCGAACGGAAAGGCCCUGCUUUUGUGGGGUGCUCGAGUGGCGAACGGGUGAGUAACACGUGAGUAACCUGCCCUUGACUUUGGGAUAACUUCAGGAAACUGGGGCUAAUACCGGAUAGGAGCUCCUGCUGCAUGGUGGGGGUUGGAAAGUUUCGGCGGUUGGGGAUGGACUCGCGGCUUAUCAGCUUGUUGGUGGGGUAGUGGCUUACCAAGGCUUUGACGGGUAGCCGGCCUGAGAGGGUGACCGGCCACAUUGGGACAGAGAUACGGCCCAGACUCCUACGGGAGGCAGCAGUGGGGAAUAUUGCACAAUGGGCGGAAGCCUGAUGCAGCAACGCCGCGUGCGGGAUGACGGCCUUCGGGUUGUAAACCGCUUUCGCCUGUGACGAAGCGUGAGUGACGGUAAUGGGUAAAGAAGCACCGGCUAACUACGUG
rnacentral:rRNA from 1 species